GCCGAGAUAUUCUGUGCUAUAGGAGCAUAAAAAUUUGCUUUUUAAUUUAGAGAUAGAAUGAAAGGACUAACGACUUAAUAAUUUUUCCUAAUGUGUAUCAUAGAACUAACUAUAAAGUAAAAAAACUUUUAUAUUUAAGUAAGACAACAAGACCCUAUAGAACUUUAUGACUUUAUUUUGCUGGGCAGCAAAGAACUCAAUCUUUUCAAUAUAUCUUCUAUAAAGACCUAAUAGACUGAAUUUAUAAAACAAGACACCUUAGGUAUAACAGCACUAUUUGUCUUUACAGUCCAUUAAAAGCUAAUAUUACGACCUCGAUGUUGAAUUAAUUGAACUUUACUAAGCAAAAAUAAUCGAAGUAAGUCUGUUCGACUUUUAAAAGAUUACAUGAUUUGAGUUCAGACCGGUGCAAACCAGGSAGAUAUAUCUUCUUUUAUAAAUUAACAGUGCGAAAGGCCUUCAUAUAAAUAAA
rnacentral:rRNA from 1 species